rnacentral:misc_RNA from 1 species
UACGGAGGGUGCAAGCGUUAAUCGGAAUUACUGGGCGUAAAGCGCGCGUAGGUGGUUUGUUAAGUCGGAUGUGAAAGCUUCGGGCUCAACCUGGGAACUGCAUCUAAAACUGGCAAGCUAGAGUACGGUAGAGGGUGGUGGAAUUUCCUGUGUAGCGGUGAAAUGCGUAGAUAUAGGAAGGAACACCAGUGGCGAAGGCGACCACCUGGACUGAUACUGACACUGAGGUGCGGAGGCGUGGGGAGCAAGCAGG